AACGUAGGAGGCGAGCGUUAUCCGGAUUUACUGGGCGUAAAGCGCGUGCAGGUGGCUGUACAAGUUGGGCGUGAAAUCUCCUGGCUUAACUGGGAGGGGUCGUCCAAGACUGUAGAGCUUGAGUGCAGGAGAGGGAAGCAGAAUUUCCGGUGUAGCGGUAAUAUGCGCAGAUAUCGGAAGGAAUACCAGUGGCGAAGGCGGCUUCCUGGCCUGUUACUGACACUAAGACGCGAAAGCUAGGGGAG
rnacentral:rRNA from 1 species